rnacentral:lncRNA from 1 species
CCACAGUCCAUCUAUUACCACUAAUUUGAUGUUCACUGUGCAUAUGUGGAAGUCCCCUGGCUGCCAAGGGCCUUUGGUUGCCAUGCUGUACAAGGCCCUGUCCCUGACUCUCAAGGAGAAACCUCUAGAAGUGCAUCAUGGAGAAACCAGCUUCACCACAGAAUACAGCAAGUUGCUGGUUACCUCCGAUCAUAAUCCCUCCAUGACCCACCUAUUUCUGUCCAUGGGACUCUACCUACUGCUGCUAAUUCUAGUGGGUACACUGGGAACUGUGGCCUAUCAAAAACAAGCUACUCUUCGGGUGGCACCAUCUACCUCUCACCAUCACCAGAUACAUGCCACAAGGGGCUGAAUUGGAAGAAUAAAGGAAGCAUGAUGUUACCUAAAACAUGACACGGAGUAGGAUUACUUUUUGAGACAACUGAAUGGAAAAUCUAAUGUGUAUACAAUGUAAGUUCUACUUUCUUCAGAAGGCCUCUUUCCCAGGACAUCAACUCUAUACUACCCUUGGAAAGGAAAAAGAAAAAAAAAUGGUUUGGAAAGUCGUAUGGCUAAAAUAUAACAUCAUGAUUGUAAGAUUAUAUGACCAUAUAUUUUGGUUUGGUACA